rnacentral:lncRNA from 1 species
CGUCUUUCUCCAGGAAAACGUGGACCGCUCUCCGCCGACAGGUCUCUUCCACAGACCUAUCUUGUUUUCAUCCCCUGUCUCUUUUGGUUCAGUCUUUUCGCUCAUACAAACAAGGAAGUCGCCCCUAGCCCAGCCGCGGCUCCUUAGCUGGAGGCGGGCCCGGGCGUGGAGUCAACCGCGGUGGCCACGCCUCCUGGGAAAGGGCGGGGCAUGCAAAUUCGAAAUGAAAGCCCGGAAACCCCGGAACUAGAACUGGUAUCUCUUCAACUACCUGUGAAAACUGAUGUGAUGAAAAGGGGAAUUUGAAGGAGCCAUUCCAGAAGACAGGGCGAAAACUGAAGUGCAAUCAGGGCCAAGAAAAACAGAAAUAGCAGGACCUGGAGUUGCAUAGGUUGAAUAGUUGAAUAGGCUGCUCUCCUCAGCUGGCAGGAAACCUGGCAGCCUCCUGGUGCCCAAGGACUGAAAACCUUAGAAGCACCUGGAGUUGGCAGCCUUGGCAUGGUCAGGUUGGCACCUCUGGAGGUGCCCAGGCUUCCCUGGCAGCAUUGUGAGCAGUGGAUGGUGUUGAAGGGCAGCCAGAGGAGGAAUGGAACACAUGCUCCUUGCUAACCACACGGACAAGGCCACGUUCACAGGUACACAAAGGCAACGCAGUUGCUCAGGUGCUUCGGUAUCACAGCCAAGACCCCUUCGGGGGAAGCUAGUCGGAUACUGGGACCCACAUUCCAGACUACUGAGCCGCGGUCGCGCCCUCGGCUCCGUUUCUGCUCCCUCCACCCCACGAGGACGGGGGUGGAAGGCCACCUUCGAUGGGUGCAUCCUCCACGAUGACCUGCUAACAAAGGUGCAUGGAUUUCAGAGUCUGAUUGGCCUACAACAGCAUUUGGCUUGUGGAGACAGUGGUUCCCUGAUGAAAAACUGCCAUGAUAGGAAUAGAAACAAUCAGAGGAAACUUCCAUGAGUUCCCAGGACACAUCCACCCACCUCCUCCACGUGUAACCACCACCUCUACCUUCCCCUCUGGUGCUGUGGAUGAGCCAUCCGUGCUCCUGGCAAAGGCCCACCUGCCACUUGGGCACAGGAACCCAUCCAUCCCUCCUUACCUCUGGAAAACUCCUCCAAACACUUGUCUAUAUUUGUCCCUAUCAUUCUCUCUCUCUCUCCCCCCUCUCUAUUUUUUAUUUUAUUUUAUUUUAUUUUAUUUUAUUUUAUUUUAUUUUAUUUUAUUUAUUUAUUUGAGACGGAGUCUCACUCUGUCACCCAGGCUGGAGUGCAGUGGCAUAAUCUUGGCUCACUGGAACCCCUACCUCUUGCGUUAAAGCAAUUCUCCUGCCUCAACCACCUGAGUAGCUGGGAUUACAGGCGCCCACCACCUCGCUGGGCUAAUUUUUGAAUUUGUAAUUGAGAUGGGGUUUCACCAUGGUAGCCAGGCUGGUCUCAAACUCCUGACCUCAAGCGAUCUGCCCACCUCCGUCUCUCAAAGUGCUGGGAUUAGAGGUGUGAGCCACCACGCCUGGCCUAUUUAUUUUUUUGAGACAGAGUCUCCCUCUGUUGUCCAAGCUAGAGUGCAGUGAUACCAUCUCGGCUCACUGCCACCUCUGCCUCCCAGGUUCAAGCGACUCUCCUGCCUCAGCCUCCCUAGUAGCUGGGAUUACAGCCAUGCACCACCACACCUGGCUAAUUUUUGUAUUUUUAGUAGAGAUGGGGUUUCACCACGUUGGCCAGGGUGGUCUUGAGCUCCUGACCUCAGGUGAUCUGCCCGCUUCAGCCUCUCAAAGUGCUGGGAUUACGGGCAUGAGCUGCUGUGCCCAGCCUCAAUUAUUUUAAUCUUUGAAUAACUUCGGACUUGCAGAAAAGUUAAAAGACUUACAUGGAGAACUUCUCUACCCUCUUCCCCAUCCCCGCAAGGUACACAGUUGGUAAAGCGAGAAGUCUGGGGUUCAGUGACACACUUCUUAACUCCCAAGUUCGUGCUCUUUCUUCUCUCUCUCUCUCUCUCUCUGUUGUCUCUCCCUCCCUCCUUCACUCCCUCUCUCUCCCCUUGAUGGCCACAUUUACUUUAUAAUUUUCUCUCUCACUCUUUCUCUGUCUCACUCUCUCUUACACAACACACACACUCAUAAGAAGACACCUAUAUACAUUUUUUUCCUGAACCAUUGGUAAGUAAUUUGCACACAGGAUGUCCCUUCACCCCCCAGUCCACCAAUACUUCGGUGUGUUUCCUAAGAACAAAGGCCUUCUGGAAGUUUCACAUUAAUUCCAUACUGGAUCUACAGUCCGAGUUCAGAUUUCACCAAUUGUCCCAAUAAAGUCCUUUAGGUUUUUCUGG